UCUCUGUCACCCUUCCUAAACAUACAAAAGCAAAUUAUCUUUCCAAGUGGGUAAACCAUGAUUAUCAACACCAUAAAGAGUGCCCAUAUCACUUCCCAUCUUCCAUUUUUCCAUAUUUUGAAUGCCAAUAAUAUCCAUGAUGGUCAGUUGCCUUGUUGGGAGCCCUAUCAACAUGAGACAUUCUCUUUUCACCAUGCCUCUGUGCAGGUAGCUCAGCUUUACUAUUUUCUGGGCACACUAUGAUGAUUUUUCGAAGCAUUUCGUCUUAAUUGCAGCCACUUUGCUUUUCUGAUUGGAAUGAGAAUGUGGGAUGGUGCUUCUCCUUUUCUUUUAUCUAUUUCUUGGCUUCCUUUCCUCUCCUAGGUUUUAAGGUGGAAAAUUGAAGUAUAAUGAAGACGACAGCGUAUCUUUUGCCAUUUCUUAAAACACAGUAUUUAAAUAGAAGAACACCUGUUUUUCAGGAUUUGAUCUUGAUACUAGCUAGUAUUUACCACUAUGAUGUCCCCUUGUAAACUUGCUGAGUCUGUUUCUAUGUAUAAAUAUGGUAAUAUAUAUAUGAAUAAUCUAAUCAAAU
rnacentral:lncRNA from 1 species